GUCGCGGGUGACGACGGUGUCACCCACAGCCAGGGUCAGGUCGGCCUGGACGGUGAGAUAGAGGGGCUUGUCGGGC
rnacentral:tRNA from 1 species